rnacentral:lncRNA from 1 species
AAUGUGGUACAUACACCGUAGAAUACUAUGCAGUCAUAAAAAGGAGCAAGAUCAUAUCCUUUGCAGGGAUAUGGAUGAAGCUGGAAGCCAUUAUUCUCAGCAAACUAAUACAGGGACAAAAAACUAAACAUUACACGUUCUCAUUUAUAAGUGGGAGCUGAACAAUGAGAACACAGGGAGGAGAACAAUACACACCAGGGCCUGUUGGGGGAGAGCAGGGUGUCGGGGGGUAGAGCAUUAGGAGAAAGAGCUAAUGCAUGCUGGACUUAAUACCUAGAUGGCUCUUUUAGUUGGCUCCUGAGUUCCUUUGACAGACACCUCUCUCAGGCGUUUGAGACCAGCCUUGGCAACAUGGUGAAACCCUGUCUCUACCAAAAAUACAAAAAUUAGCCAGUCUUACAACCCGGCUUCUAAAUAAAUAAAUAAAUAAGUAAGUAAAUCUUGGCUAUUGUGAAUAGUACUGCAGUAAACAUGGGGGUGCAGGUAUCCCUUUGAUAUAUUG